GCCCCUGAUUCUCUCCUUGUUGCUCCUAUCACUCUCCCAACACACAUGAUUCCACCUCUUGAUCAAUUGGUGGAGAAGUGUUUCAACACAAUGGAGGGAUCUCUAGCUUGGAAACGCUACCAGAUCUUUUUGCAUCUCAAUGUUUCCCCUCAGGGAGGUUGGCGCUUGACAACCUUAAUAAGAAGCAUUGGCUACUGCGCUUCCGCAACUAUUGUAAAAGGUCAGUUGGCUUCUGGGAUUUGGUAUAAGUCUACAAAAAUGUCUACCCGCAUGAAGUGAGGGAGGUUUUUCCACCUUGAAUAUUGGCACCUACUCCCCUACCUCAUGGAAGACCACCACCUUUUGGUUGGGCAUUACGUCUCACACCAUCUCCACUGAUUAGGUUAGAGUGAUGCUUGGUUUCUACAUCGAGAAAGAGAGAAAGAGUGGAGAGAUUUCUGGGCUUGCUUCAUUUGCUAGGAUAGAGUGUUCGCCAAAGCAUGAAUUCUGGUAGAGCAUUGCUAAGAAUGGGGCAAAUUUUGUGGCAAGCAUCUCCAAGGCGAUGCAGAUGCACAAGCCAAUAAGAUGACUUCUGAAUUGUUCUUCAACCAGAUCUCUCAUCAAGCUCGCACUAGUUCACUGGCACCAUCACAACUCGAGACUUUUAUAUGUUUUAUUGUCAAGAGAAGUAGAUUGACAUGCAUUACGACAUAUUCUAUCUCCACUAUCUGCUCUAGGAUGGAAAACUUCACCACUCAACACCAAAUGCUGGAUGACUGAAGGUGAUGAUAGCUUCGGAGACCCACUUGGCGACAUAUGGACGUUGGAUGGACUUACAUAGUAGAUUGGGUCUACACAAGAUGGGAUCAAAGGCUAGAGGAGCGACUUGAACACAUUCAAAGAGCAUGCAAUUGGAUUCGUCUAGGACCUUUGUGAUUGGGUUUUGAGUGUUCAUACCGAGGUUCAGUGGGUGUAGCAGAGUUAGGACCGCAAAAUGGCCACAUGGUUUACUACCAUAAACCCUCCUACUCAAGCUACGAGUACAUGCCCCAGAUUCCACAUGUAACACUUCGAUUUUGGGUUGAUUAUCGAUUCUAGGUUUUAAUGUGAAUUCUGGGAUUUUUGGAAAUCGGCUAAUGAGUGGACCGUCACGAGUGUGACAGUAAGUCUGUCACAGGCGUGACAAUAAAUCUUUCACGGGCGUGGUUGUUAGAUAGACCACGACCAUGAUUAGCAGCCUGCUGGG
rnacentral:lncRNA from 1 species